rnacentral:rRNA from 1 species
GGUUUGACUUGGCUCAGAUUGAACGCUGGCGGGGAUGCUUUACACAUGCAAGUCGAACGGCAGCACGGACUUCGGUCUGGUGGCGAGUAUGAACGGUGAGUAAUGUAUCGGAACGUGCCUAGUAGCGGGGGAUAACUAGCGCGAAAGCGAGCUAAUACCGGCCAUCAACGCCGGGGAAAGCGGGGACUUUCGGGCCUUCGCACUACUAGAGCGGCCGAUAUCGAUUAAAGAAUGCGGGGUAACGGCUCACCAAGGCGACGAUCCGUAGCUAUUUGAGAGGAAUGACCAGCCACUGACUGAGACACGGCCCAGACUCCCAUGGAGGCAGGGGGAAUCGGAUAAUGGGGAAACUCCAUCCAGCCAUCCUGCCGUGCGAUGAAGGCCUCUCGCUGUAGCACUUUUGGCAGGAAAGAAACGGCACGGGAUAAUACCCGUGCAACUGACGGCAGGCCUUAAGAAUAAGCACCGGCUAACUAGAUGCGCCAGCAGCCGCGGCACAUGCAGGGUGCAAGCGUUAAUCGAAACUAUUGGGCGUAGCGUGCGCAGGCGGUUCGAAAAAAGAAAGAUGAAUCCCAGAGCUUAACUUUGGAACUGCAUUUUUAACUACCGAGCUUAGAGUGUGCUUCGAGGGAGGUGGAAUUCCGCGUGUAGCAGCAGAAAUGCGAUAUGCGGAGGAACACCGAUGGCGAAGGCAGCCUCCUGGGAGUACACUGGAUGUCAUGCACGAAAGCGUGGGGAGCAAACAGAUUGAUACUCCGGUAGUCCACUGCCCCAAACGAUGUCAACCAGCUGUUGGGGCCUCGGGCCUUUGUAGCGCAGCUAACGCGUGAAGUUGACCGCCUGGGGAGCACGGUCGCAAGAUUAAAACUCAAAGGAAUUGACGGGGACUCGCACAAGUGGGUGGAUGAUGUGGAUUAAUUCGAUGCACGCGAAAACUUACCUACCUUGACAGGUUCGAAUCCCGAAGAGAUUUGGAGGCCGCGGGAAGAGAACCGAACACAGGUGCUGCAUGGCUGUCGUCAGCUCGUGUCGGAGAUGUUGGGUUAAGUCCUGCAAUGAGCAACUCCUUGCCAUUGAAGGCAUGAAAGGGCACUCUAGACGAGAGAUCACACGGUGACAAACCGAGAAGGUGAUGACGUCAAGUCCCGGCGGCUCCUUGGCAGCAGGGGGCUUCGUUACGCCGGCACACGGUCGACAGAGGGUCACAACCCGGCGGAGAGGGGGAGCCAAUCCCAGAAACCCGAUCGUAGUCCGGAUCGCAGCCUGCAACCCGACUGCGUGAAGUCGGAAUCGCCAGGAAUCGUGACUGUGGCGCUGUCGCGGUGAAUACGUUCGGCCCGGCUGCGCCUGCCCGUCAACUUUGCGGGAGUGGUUUUACCAGAAGUAGUUAGCCCAAUCAGGCGAGGCGAUUACCACGGUGGCAGGAUUCAUGACUGGGGUGAAGUCGUAACAAGGUAACUCCA